CAAAACUCUGCAGGACUGUGGCUCUCCAGGAUCGACGUUGGCCACCCCUGAUGUACGCCAUGCUUCUUCAUUGUAAAGCAGCAGUGUGUACAUCUACAGCAAGUCACCAGGCUGAACCAGCGGUGCUUCAAACAAGAGAACGUGAAGCAGGAGUGACACUGUUUAAAUAGAUCAGGCUCUCCAGGACAAGGCAGAAAGAAAAACAUGCCUCUUUUGUCAAAGCCAGACAAAGCCCCACAGACCUUAAACUGGACUUCUGCUUUCCAGGCUGUCUUCUCUGAUCUCCAGUCAUCCGAGAGGCUUCUGCCAGCCUGCGAGCUGUCAAAGUAGCCCUGGAAUCAAACGCCACUCCAUGCUCAGCUAUGAUCAAAGGAAC
rnacentral:lncRNA from 1 species